rnacentral:tRNA from 1 species
GCCCCGGUAGCUCAACCGGAUAGAGCAAUGGAGUUCUAACCCAUGUGUUGGAGGUUCGAAUCCUCCCCGGGGCACCA